GGGUCAGUAGGUUGGUCGUGCCACCGGUACGUACUGGUCUCACUGAUUCCUCCUUCCUGAAGAACCGUAAUGCCAUUAAUUUGGUGUUGCGGGGAAACAGGACUGUUACUUUGAAAAAAUUAGAGUGUUUAAAGCAAGCUAACGCUUGAAUACAUUAGCAUGGAAUAAUGAAAUAGGACGAUCGAUCCUAUUUUGUCGGUCUCUAGGAUUGACGUAAUGAUUAAUAGGGAUGGG
rnacentral:rRNA from 1 species